CUUUUCUUCUCGGACGCAUUGCUGGAUCGAUCCUGGCGUCGUCUCACUCGAGAAGGAUGAAACAAAAUGAAAUCAUUUUAGCGGUAAAAUGUUUCUCCGGCGGCCCUCUCGGCUUUGGGGGUUGAACGGGAGACCUGCUUGCUGAAAUAUGAACAAAUAUUUCGCUCGUCGAAGUCACACGUGAACGCCACGGGGGAGCACGUGGUCCAUCGGUCGCGUAUCCAUUCCAUAAACUGCAAGGAUUCUUUGGAGCGACUAGUUUGAUCCCACGAGGUUCCAUUUUAGCCCGUUGGAAGUCUGGAGGAGCGCAGAAUUAUUUAGAUUCCAGAGUGGAGGGGGCAAGGCCGCAACUGCAUCACUAAACGCGAACGUUGCUCGCUUCGACAUGUUUAAGGAAGAAAAUUUACUGAAAGUGUUUUUCAACUUGUUUCACUUUUGAGAGCUACUGAAUAAAAACUGUGUAAACCAA